GACGAACGCUGGCGGCGUGCCUAAUACAUGCAAGUUGAGCGCUGAAGGUUGGUACUUGUACCGACUGGAUGAGCAGCGAACGGGUGAGUAACGCGUGGGGAAUCUGCCUUUGAGCGGGGGACAACAUUUGGAAACGAAUGCUAAUACCGCAUAAAAACUUUAAACACAAGUUUUAAGUUUGAAAGAUGCAAUUGCAUCACUCAAAGAUGAUCCCGCGUUGUAUUAGCUAGUUGGUGAGGUAAGGGCUCACCAAGGCGAUGAUACAUAGCCGACCUGAGAGGGUGAUCGGCCACAUUGGGACUGAGACACGGCCCAAACUCCUACGGGAGGCAGCAGUAGGGAAUCUUCGGCAAUGGACGAAAGUCUGACCGAGCAACGCCGCGUGAGUGAAGAAGGUUUUCGGAUCGUAAAACUCUGUUGGUAGAGAAGAACGUUGGUGAGAGUGGAAAGCUCAUCAAGUGACGGUAACUACCCAGAAAGGGACGGCUAACUACGUG
rnacentral:rRNA from 1 species